rnacentral:lncRNA from 1 species
CAGGUUCAAACAGAGCAAAACCAGGAGUGAGAAUGACAGUUAAAAUGAGAUCAUUUUGUGUUUCCAGCUGAGCAUUUGAAGCAGUAUUGCAUAAUUAUCAGUCAGAUACAUGUGAUAAUUGAGUCAGAAGUAUAACAUUAUUAUACAAUAUUUUUCACAUGGAAAUUGGCUCGUGGUCGUAAGCAAUGUCUGCCAUUAUUUUUAUUUCUCAUAUUGGCAGUCAAUUUUGUUUGUAUUCAACCAUCCCAUCAGAAAAUUGAUAUGUCAAACUUUAAAGGAGAGACCUCUAUGUUGCGAAAAUGCAGCUUACAUUGGAGCGUAGAAUAUUGCACACAUUCACACAGCAACUGCUUCAGGUCUUUUGCUGGUUUUGAUUCCUCUUAUAGCUACAAGGGAGUUGAAGCCAGGAAAAUCAUCAAAAUCACAAUGAAUUUACAAUCAUUGCAGUAUCAACUCACAUAAAAUAUUAUUUUGGGUACCUUCAGCAUAAUCUUUAGCUCCAAACACAGCAGAACCAGCAACCAGUGCAUUGGC